rnacentral:rRNA from 1 species
UACAGAGGGUGCGAGCGUUGUCCGGAAUCACUGGGCGUAAAGGGCGCGCAGGCGGCGAGUUUUGUCAGGCGUGAAAGCCCCGGGCUCAACCUGGGAAUUGCGCUUGAAACGGGCUUGCUUGAGACCGGGAGAGGAGAGUGGAAUUCCCAGUGUAGAGGUGAAAUUCGUAGAUAUUGGGAAGAACACCGGUGGCGAAGGCGGCUCUCUGGACCGGAUCUGACGCUGAGGCGCGAAAGCGUGGGGAGCAAACAGG